UACGUAGGGUGCAAGCGUUAAUCGGAAUUACUGGGCGUAAAGCGUGCGCAGGCGGUUCGGAAAGAGAGGUGUGAAAUCCCGGGGCUUAACCUUGGAACUGCACUUCUAACUACCGGGCUAGAGUACGUCAGAGGGGGGUAGAAUUCCACGUGUAGCAGUGAAAUGCGUAGAGAUGUGGAGGAAUACCGAUGGCGAAGGCAGCCCCCUGGGAUGAUACUGACGCUCAUGCACGAAAGCGUGGGGAGCAAACAGG
rnacentral:rRNA from 1 species